GAUAAACGCUGGCGGCGUGCCUAAUACAUGCAAGUCGAGCGAACGGACGAGAAGCUUGCUUCUCUGAUGUUAGCGGCGGACGGGUGAGUAAUACGUGGAUAACCUACCUAUAAGACUGGGAUAACUUCGGGAAACCGGAGCUAAUACCGGAUAAUAUUUUGAACCGCAUGGUUCAAAAGUGAAAGACGGUCUUGCUGUCACUUAUAGAUGGAUCCGCGCUGCAUUAGCUAGUUGGUAAGGUAACGGCUUACCAAGGCAACGAUGCAUAGCCGACCUGAGAGGGUGAUCGGCCACACUGGAACUGAGACACGGUCCAGACUCCUACGGGAGGCAGCAGUAGGGAAUCUUCCGCAAUGGGCGAAAGCCUGACGGAGCAACGCCGCGUGAGUGAUGAAGGUCUUCGGAUCGUAAAACUCUGUUAUUAGGGAAGAACAUAUGUGUAAGUAACUGUGCACAUCUUGACGGUACCUAAUCAGAAAGCCACGGCUAACUACGUGCCAGCAGCCGCGGUAAUACGUAGGUGGCAAGCGUUAUCCGGAAUUAUUGGGCGUAAAGCGCGCGUAGGCGGUUUUUUAAGUCUGAUGUGAAAGCCCACGGCUCAACCGUGGAGGGUCAUUGGAAACUGGAAAACUUGAGUGCAGAAGAGGAAAGUGGAAUUCCAUGUGUAGCGGUGAAAUGCGCAGAGAUAUGGAGGAACACCAGUGGCGAAGGCGACUUUCUGGUCUGUAACUGACGCUGAUGUGCGAAAGCGUGGGGAUCAAACAGGAUUAGAUACCCUGGUAGUCCACGCCGUAAACGAUGAGUGCUAAGUGUUAGGGGGUUUCCGCCCCUUAGUGCUGCAGCUAACGCAUUAAGCACUCCGCCUGGGGAGUACGACCGCAAGGUUGAAACUCAAAGGAAUUGACGGGGACCCGCACAAGCGGUGGAGCAUGUGGUUUAAUUCGAAGCAACGCGAAGAACCUUACCAAAUCUUGACAUCCUUUGACAACUCUAGAGAUAGAGCCUUCCCCUUCGGGGGACAAAGUGACAGGUGGUGCAUGGUUGUCGUCAGCUCGUGUCGUGAGAUGUUGGGUUAAGUCCCGCAACGAGCGCAACCCUUAAGCUUAGUUGCCAUCAUUAAGUUGGGCACUCUAAGUUGACUGCCGGUGACAAACCGGAGGAAGGUGGGGAUGACGUCAAAUCAUCAUGCCCCUUAUGAUUUGGGCUACACACGUGCUACAAUGGACAAUACAAAGGGCAGCGAAACCGCGAGGUCAAGCAAAUCCCAUAAAGUUGUUCUCAGUUCGGAUUGUAGUCUGCAACUCGACUACAUGAAGCUGGAAUCGCUAGUAAUCGUAGGUCAGCAUGCUACGGUGAAUACGUUCCCGGGUCU
rnacentral:rRNA from 1 species